UUAAGCAUAUAAGUAAGCGGMGGAAAAGGAACUAAACAGGAUUCCCUUAGUAAUGGCGAACGAACAGGGAUCAGCUUGGGUUGGAAACCAAGGCAUCUGCCUUGGAUUGUGGCCUUUAGACAUUGUACCAACGGCGGCGCGAGCGUAAGCCUCUUGGAAUAGAGCGUCUACCUGGGUGAGAAUCCUGUGUUUCGCUUGAUGUCCGCCGUGCACGGUACUUGCUCACAGAGUCACGCUCCUCGGAAUUGGAGCGUAAAUUGGGUGGUAAAUUUCAUCUAAAGCUAAAUACAGGCUCGAGACCGAUAGCAAACAAGUACCAUGAGGGAAAGAUGAAAAGGACUUUGAAAAGAGAGUUAAAAGUGUUUGAAAUCGCUGAACUGGAAGCGAAUGGAACUAGUGCUCUGGCUGAGAUUGCUGUAAGUGGCAGCCAAAUUUGGGUGUCUGAACGCAAGUCUCUCACCUGGCUGUAAGCUGUUGCUUGCAAUGUGUCUCAGCUUGAAUGUCAAUGUCUAUGCGCGCAUGAGGAUGGCCUCUGGCUCAUGCUAUCUUGCUGCGGCGAGAUUCUUGUGCCUCUGGGGAUUCAAGUGUGUGUAGAUUGUUGAUCUAUUAGUUCCAUUCGACCCGUCUUGAAACACGGACCAAGGAG
rnacentral:rRNA from 1 species